UGAGUCGGCCAGGCGGCCGCGUCGCGGAGCGAUCCGCGCCGAGGAACGUCCGGGCUCCAUAGGGCGGGGUGGUGGGUAACGCCCACCCGGGGUGACCCGCGGGAAAGUGCCACAGAAAACAGACCGCCGCACCGGUUCGCAGGUGAGGUAAGGGUGAAACGGUGGUGUAAGAGACCACCAGCACACCGGGUGACCGGUGUGGCUAGGCAAACCCCACCCGGAGCAAGGCCAGACAGGAAGCGCUCGAGGGCUGCCCGCCCGAGCUUCCGGGUAGGCCGCUGGAGGCGUGCGGCAACGUACGUCGUAGAUGGAUGGCCGCCACCGAGGCGCUCGCGCCCCGGGACAGAACCCGGCGUAUCGGCCGACUCAUCCG
rnacentral:RNase_P_RNA from 1 species